rnacentral:sRNA from 1 species
UUAAUAAUAAUUAAAAAAUUUUUUGUUGAGAUAAAGAAGAUGAACCCAGGAACAAAGAAUUAUUGAGAACGUACAUUGCUGCUGAAGAAGUGUUGAUCUUGUUUUUGUACCAAGUUUGGAGCAUUGCUCGUGUAAGUAAUGAAGUUCUUUUAAGAAGUUUUUUUUAUGUCAUAUUAGGAUCUUGAUUGUGUUCGAACUCCAUUUUUUUAUCAGAAUAUUUGCAAAAUCUAUAUUUGUUUGUUUAAAAUAGUCAAAUGAUAAUUGGUAUUUAGGUUUAUAAAUGUGUAGUAUCGACAUUCCAUUUGUUUUUUAUAUGUAUAGUAUUUUUCAGUUGCAUUUAAUGUGUGUCUCCUGAAUUUAUGAUGCAGGUGGGUUAUGGAUAUUCCCGUAUUUACCAUGGUCGGUGAGUGGAAAUGCAAAGAAGGAGAAUGGAAAUUUGAACCUGAGGAAGGCAUCUUUGGUCGUUAUGUACGCGUUCAGGAAACCAUGACGUACACGGACUUUGUCCGUACACUCCGAGAGGCUUUCAGUUUGAAGUCCACCGAGAUCAAUCCCAUAAUUAGCUACUGGAUGCCGGGUGAAAUGUCAGUGCUGAUAGAUACUAAACGCCCUCCUGUAUACAUUGACAGUCAGAUGGGUCUCGAGACGUUUUUUUUGGUUCGUGGUGGGUAUCUUUCUCUCAACUUGUUCGUCUCUUUCAAUAAUACAGUGAAGGCGUUCGGGAAUACUGUCUCUAGGUCUCAUGGUGAAGUUUCUGAAAGUGACCGUGUGUUUGAUAGUGCUACAAAUGUUGAUGAAAAUAAUGAGGAUGCAGAGGAGCAAGCCGAUGUUGAAGACGAUACAACAGAAGAGGAUGAAUUGGAGGAGGGCAACGAAGAUGAUGAUGGGUGUGAUGAUUAUCUUGGUGUGGAUGGAUCUAUUGGGGGAAGUACCCUGUAUCCUACCACAGACGGUAGUGAAGGUAUUGGCGAAGAAUACGAUUACAACAAGUGGAACGAUGUAAUAGUAGAAGAAUAUGUACAAGGAAAUCUUGAGGAAGACGUCAGUCUCACUCAACAGACUGCUCAACAUCCAGGGAAAUUCAGUCGUUUAUUGGAAACGUGUACGUACACGGGUGUUAGUGUACCUGGCGGAGAUACAGGGGAAUUCAGUCGUCUCUUGGAAACGUGUACGUACACUGGUCUUAGUGUACCUGGCGAAGAAACAAUCUCUCAAUUGGGUUACGGUACACGCUGCGAAGGGCAAAGGGAUUCCAAUCUUAUUUGUAUAGACGAAGUCACCGGGGAUGAAGUGAUCGAAGGUAUUGGAGCUUCCUCAACUGGGACACAAAAUGAUAAUGGGGUAGUUACCGCAGCUGAGGCUUACCAAGUGUAUAAUGAAUUUCCUAAGUUACAUGGUGGCGAGUUGGCGAAUCUCGGUAACGAUGUUGCUCCUGUGUUCGAUGACUUACUCAAUUUUCGAGCUGAUGAGACACAGGUUGAAAUCAGCACCACAGGCGAAACUUUGUUUGUUGGAAGUGUUUUUAAGAAUAGAAAAGUCCUGCAACAAACAAUGUCUCUUCAAGCGAUAAAGCAAUGCUUUUGCUUCAAGCAACCUAAGUCAUGUCCUAAAACAUUGAAAAUGGUGUGCGUUGAUGAGACUUGUCCAUGGCAAUUGACUGCUCGCGUCGUGAAGGAUUCAGAAAGUUUCAAAAUCACUUCGUAUGCUACGACACAUACGUGUAACAUCGACUCUCGGAAGUACUACAAUAAACAUGCUAAUUAUAAGCUCCUCGGAGAAGUUGUGAGGAGCAGAUACAGUUCUACGCAGGGUGGGCCGCGAGCUGUCGACUUACCACAACUGCUCCUAAAGGAUCUGAAUGUGCGUAUUUCAUAUUCUACCGCUUGGAGAGCAAAAGAGGUUGCAGUGGAAAAUGUACGGGGGGAUGAGAUAGCAAAUUACAGGUUUUUGCCGACCUAUCUGUAUCUUCUCCAAUUAGCUAAUCCGGGUACAAUAACACACCUACACUAUACACCAGAAGAUGAUGGUAAGCAGCGCUUCAAGUAUGUCUUUGUCUCUCUUGGCGCUUCUAUCAAAGGUCUGAUAUAUAUGAGGAAGGUAGUUGUGGUAGAUGGAACGCAGCUAGUCGGACCUUACAAAGGAUGUCUCCUUAUUGCAUGUGCCCAAGAUGGGAACUUCCAAAUAUUCCCAAUAGCUUUUGGUGUUGUUGAUGGUGAGACCGAUGCUUCUUGGGCAUGGUUUUUUGAAAAGUUAGCUGAGAUUGUUCCAGACAGUGACGAUUUAAUGAUUGUCUCGGACAGACAUUCAUCUAUAUACAAAGGCCUAAGUGUUGUUUACCCGAGAGCGCAUCAUGGAGCAUGUGCUGUUCACCUUGAGCGAAACCUCUCCACCUAUUAUGGUAAGUUUGGUGUGUCUGCUUUAUUUUUCAGCGCUGCCAAAGCUUAUAGGGUCAGGGAUUUCGAGAAAUAUUUUGAACUGUUAAGGGAAAAGAGUGCUAAAUGCGCAAAAUACCUAGAGGACAUAGGAUUUGAGCAUUGGACAAGAGCUCACUGUAGAGGAGAACGCUACAAUAUCAUGUCGAGCAACAACUCUGAGUCCAUGAAUCAUGUGUUAACAAAAGCAAAAACUUAUCCGAUUGUUUACAUGAUCGAGUUCAUUCGGGAUGUCCUAAUGCGAUGGUUCGCAUCGAGGAGAAAGAAAGUUGCUAGGUGCAAAUCUUCUGUGACACCUGAGGUUGAUGAGAGAUUUCUACAAGAGUUGCCUGCGUCAGGUAAAUACGCUGUGAAGAUGUCUGGACCGUGGAGCUAUCAAGUGACAAGUAAAUCCGGGGAGCAUUUUCAUGUCGUUCUGGACCAGUGUACAUGUACGUGUCUUAGGUACACCAAGUUAAGAAUCCCAUGUGAACACGCUCUAGCAGCUGCAAUCGAGCAUGGAAUUGAUCCGAAGUCUUGUGUCGGAUGGUGGUAUGGCCUUCAAACGUUUUCUGAUUCUUUCCAAGAACCAAUUCUACCUAUCGCGGAUCCGAAAGAUGUUGUCAUCCCACAACAUAUAGUGGAUUUGAUACUCAUUCCUCCAUACAGUAGACGGCCACCAGGAAGACCACUGUCCAAAAGGAUCCCAUCUAGAGGUGAAAACCGGGUAUGUACUAACAUCGUUCAUUCAUCUACUUGUAUUUUGAGUAUUACCAUGCGGAGAUUUGUAACUUCCUGUCUUUGUCACUUCAGAAAAAGAGACAGAAAAGACUUUUACCAAAUCAGUGCUCACGCUGUCGACAAGCAGGUCAUAACAAGAAGACGUGCAAAAAUCCAAUCUAGUUCCGGUGACAAGUUUCUGAGCCGGCCAAUAUAGUGUACGCUUCUGUGUUUUCUCGGUGUACGUAAGUUUAUAUAUAAUCCACCUGUAACUAUGUACGUUGUGUACGUACGUUUAAACUCUACGUUCGUAUAACUAUGAACGUUUUUGUCUGUGUACGUGUUAAAGUUCAUGUAAUAAGGGUACACAGAGGUGGUUGCUCAAUAUUUUGAGUAAUUUGAAAUAAGUUUUUUGAAAAUCUAACUUAUUCCCCCUCUUAAAUGAACGGAGUUGGAGACAUGGUUGGGUAUAUUGUGGUUGUGUUGGUAUUUCAUGGAAAGGACGUAACUGUUGCUGUUUAUUGUCAAAUCAACGUUAUGAUUACCCUAUAUGACGGUUACCAGGCUAUUACCAAAAAUUUGAAUCAAGUGUAGUUGUAACCGCAUUAAUAACUGUAGCCGUUCCAGAUUUCCUCUAUUUAAGUCUCCUCCCUUCCUUAAUUUUAUCCACAAUCCUCAUUCUAAACCCAUUUCUUGUGCCGGCAGUUAUAUCAUUCACAAAAAAAAAAUUUAGUCUUUCGAAUCGAUUGUUCUUGCUAUCCGUGAGAUGGAGGGGUUUCAUACGGUCUCAGAAUUGUGUCCUCUGAUCACUGGGUGGCGAAUUUAUGUCUUUGUCGUGAGGGUCUUCAAGAAGGUUAUAUCGCCCAACGUCUUCGAACUCGGCCUUAUCCUGGCAGAUUACGAGGUUAUUUCCGUUAAAUCAUUAUGUGUUUUUCUCGUUCAUUCGCUUAACUUAUAUAUUAAACUCUCUACUAUCAUGUUCUGUAUGUAAAGAAUAACCGUAUUGAGGCCACCGUUGAUCGUCGCCUUGCUCCGUUUUACGAAGACCGAUUCGUUGAAAAUGAGUGGAAGACGAUCACCUCUUUCUUGGUCCGUAAGUCAACUGACUUAGUCAGAGCAACAAAGCAUGAAUACGGCAUACUGUUUAUGGAUCGGACCGUCGUCGUUCAUGCCCCACCGAGAUCACCACCAGUUCCAGAUUUCGAUUUCACUCCCUUCGACUACAUUUUGGAUAAAUCUGCUUACAAGAACGUUUUAGUCGGUGAGGAGGAAUAACUCUGACGCUUCAUUUAUUACAUUUUUGAAAAUGUUUGUUUAUUAUCUUUGUUUCUCCAUCAUCUAGAUGUCAUUGGAGCGUUGGUUGAUGUUGGCGCAUUGACUACAGACUAUUACGGUCUCAAACUGAGUUUCAAGUUAAAAGAUAGAUAGUAAGUGUUCUUUUCAUUUGUUUUAUUUACAAUGUCACUCUAAACGCUAACAGUCCUUAUUUCUAACGUAGCAAUGAAGUCUUGAAGUGCGAAGCCCGCAAUCAACAGGCGGAGUACUUGAAUGGUUACUUUUAGAGUUUGGGUAAGGGAAAUUUUGUUGUCGCACUUAGCUUUUGGCGUCUAACCGAACUGUCUAACCCGAAGCUUGAGAGCCAUGGUGCUAUUUCAAAGGUGGUUGCCAAUCCGGACAGAGAAGAAGUUGCGGAUAUCUCGAUGGUGGUUUUUUAGCUAGAGGGAAUGAACCAUUAUUCUCCGUUUUAAUAUAAUAUAAGACUACAUUUCAAUUAAGUUUUCUUUCCCAGUUGUUGUUGUUGUUGUUUCCAUAAGAACCAAACUACAUUUCAAUCGUUGUUGUUUUUUGUUUCCGUUUAAAUUUUAAUCUAAUUUGUUGUUUUAUGUACGUGCCUUGUUUUAUUGUUCAAAUCCUCUCGCAAUGUACGUAUAGUUUCUGGUGUACGCUAUCGUGUACGUAUAUUAGUUUUGGUGCCUUCAACAUCAAAAACUGUUAGAUUUAUACUUAUGUUGUGUACGCAAUUUCCCAAUGUACGAUAAACGAAGUGCACAGUACCGGCCUCCCGCUUGCCGUGCUCGUAGAUGUCAACGGAGUAUUUCUGACGGUAGAAGACCAUAUCUGCUUCUCGAAUGGUUGCCAGAUCCGAAAAAGGGUGUCCAAACGCAAGCAACUCCAGGAACUUCAUCGUGUAUGGCCCGCAAUCUCCUGUAGUUGGGUUUUGAGCAACGGUAGGACAACGCACAUACUCAAAAGGUUCAACUGAGUACGGAGAAAUCAAUACAUCCUGGCACAUCGCUCUGACUAAGUACGGCAUCAUUUCGCAAAUAGGAGUCAUUCUCGCCUUCACAGCCGACUCCCGCGUGUACGAUAUUAAAGCGUCAUACACAGUUAUUAGCCGUUCAUUAAGGUUGAUUCCCAAAGCAACCCAAUGUUCACUCUUCCAGUUCAUCGGAGCAUACACAACAUCGACAUCCUUCAUCCACUUCAUAUUGGGUUCACGGUUUAUGUGAACUCCAUUAGCAAUGUCGGACAGUAAUUUACCCCAUUUGAACCCGUUCUUAUUAAUACACUUCUUGAAGUCGCCCACCCGCUUGGUAAGAAGAUGCGUCAGCAUCAUGUCCAAUACAAUACAUCUGUUUGCUAUCAUUUGUUCCCCGUUCUUGUGCCACAUCAACAUUGCCAUCAUUUCUAAAUGCUGAAAUGUUCAAAAAAUAUAUCAGUGUACGUACACUUCCACGAAAAAUUUAAUCAUCUAUGUACAAUUUAUAACAAGGAAUGUACGUAUAUAAAUGCAACGUACCGUACUUUCGACCCAUUCACCAAGUGUUAGAAGGUUCGCAAAAAAGUCGUUGGGCACUUUUCGAAACCCGAAAAGAGUGUGAAUCCUGUAAAAUCCAGAAGAAUAUUUGAUAACAACCUUAAAAAUGAUGAUUGAGGUAUUAAAUAAUCCAUUUUACUAUAAUGUACUUACACAGAGGGUCCUUUAAUGAUAUUGCUUAAUUCCUCUAUUUUUGAAGGGUCAACCACGUCCAGGGGGUUGUAUGAGACAUUUCCAGCCCUGAUAACAACCUCUAUCUGUUGAGCUGGUACAUCGGGCACCAAUACUGUUUUUGCCUUAAAACCAUGAGGAUGGGCAUCAUCCAGUUCAUAGACAAGUUGUUUCUUCACUUUCUUUGGGGACGAUUUUUUUUCUUCUUUUGCUUCGACAGCAGCAGCAUUGUCUGAUUCAUCCUGUUAACAAAUAUGAUUGUCAACAACAGUUUCAUACGUUUUCCUAUGUUUAAAAUAGGUACAUACAUUAUUUUUAGGAAUAUCGGUCUUGUCUGCUUCAUCUGACCCUGGGUUAGGAUCCUCAGUUUCUACAGACCCCUCGAUAAUACACGGCUCUUCCAUGACUACCUGUGCAAGUUAACGUACACAAGUAUAUAUAAUGUACACAUAUAAUCCUAUGUAUGCUAUUCCGAAAAUAGGAAUUGAAACACACAAAUUGUUACCUCCAAAUCAGUGGCUGCAGCUAAAUCACCAACGGCUUUGGUAUCCAACUCCCGUAUGACCUGCAUAAUAUAAAUUUUAUACAUUUGAACAGUAAAUAGUACAUUUUAUUUGUUGCAAGAGUUAGCUUACAUUGUUAACUACUUGAAAUGGUGACGGGGGAUCAUUGUGGGUCUUCUUAGGUAUUUCAACUUCCAUCACUGUCACUAAUUUGGAUUCUCCUGCCGCCUCAACCUGUAGAAUUUAGCAUCGGAAAGAAACUUUUUAGUAAUGUAUGAAACAAUAUAUAUGUACACAGAACAUAGUGACAAAAAUGUACGUACACUUGUGGCAGGUACGUGAGCUGUGUCUCCAUCAGAAGGCUCAUAAGUUUCUUCUGACUCGCUGCCAUUAGCUUCAGUCGAUGCACUGGCAUCUCUUGCUUCUUCCUGAAACAAAAAUAAUUUGCAAAGUCUUAUGGGCGUACACAUAUGGAAAAAGAACAAGUGACUAACACAUACCUGUGCAGAUGUUGAAGGUAAACCUGAUGGAUUGUCUACCAUCUCUAUGUCAGCAUCAGCUAUUUCAUCGGCCCCUGUAUGGGUACCAACUAAGCCAGGUUCAACAACAUCCUUUGGUCCAUUAUCCUGAAACAUAGGCUACCAUAGAGUUAAGCGUUAGAUAAGUGAAGAAAUUAAUGUAACAGUUAUGCAUAUAGUCAUGGAAAUCUGUAUAUAACGAUUACCAGAAGAUCUACCUCUGAAACUCUUGCAGACACAUUAGAUGGAACUUCUUCCAUCUGGGUGUCAACAGUAGCUUCUUCCACAGGCCUCUCUUCCUGUGUUACAAAGACAGUCCCAGACAUUGAACCUAAGCAGAUAGUCUUACCAACAACAACAUUUCCUCUAUCCUGAAACAUAGUUUAACUAACUUCUUAAGCGAAUAUGUACGUACACCAUUUAAACAGAUUGUUAAGAGUAUUAGUAGACGACAUACCAGAUGGGAUUGUGUGGAUCCAGCAUAAGGAACUAUUAAAAAUCCAGUGUCUAAUAUCUCUUCUUCAGCGGCAGAAGAAUUCAAUCCAUCAUUUGCAGUAAAAUCACUUUCAUUAUUAGCGCCAUCCUGUAUCGAACCAGACAGUACAGUUAUACAUAUGGAUUAUAAAAUAUUUAGCAAUGUACGUACAUGACUUACCUGUUCAUCAAUGAAUCCUUGCAUAUCUUCCUUAUUGGAAUCAGGUUCCUCAAUAGUGUCAACAGCAAAAGAAAAAUUUUUCUUCGGCUUUGAAGGUUUUCUUCUUCCGCCGAAAGCAGUGGUAUGUACUCCAGGGACAUCCAAAUCUUCCUCUUUGGAAUUACAGCCAACAGAAAGUGCAGGAGUGUCCACAUCAUGAGAAACACGAGUCAGCCUUGAAGACUUUCUCGUUCCAGUGCUUCCUUUUGUAGACAUCCUUCUCGAUGGCUUCUUCGCAGUAACCAGUGCCUUAUCCAUAGAAGUAGGUGGUUCCCGCGAAUCAUGGGAAUGUAUGGUUUGUUCUGGCCUUUUGCCUUUUGGAUCAAGGGCAGCACGUAUCUGGUCACGGACAAAGUCUUUCAUAUCUUCAUGCAUUUGAUACAUUUGGUCUUCCAGCUCCUUCAAAGACCUCCUCAUUUCAACAAUAAACCUCUCAGGCACAGGCUCUCCAAAACAAUCCUCAGCAGUCUCUUCUUUAUCACAGUCCAUUUCAGAUUUCUGUUUUUUCAUAGCAGGUUCUUUAGGGCUCGGGCCCGGUGCAUUUCGUUUCCUCUUAACAUCUACAAUAAACCAGUUGCUGCUAUUAAUUGGUUUUCUUCUAGGUGCAAUACCAAAAAAAUUUGUAAA